GCGGGGAUGGUCUAGUUGGUUAUGACGGCCGCUUAACACGCGGCAGGUGCUGGGUUCGAUCCCCAGUUCCCGUA